rnacentral:rRNA from 1 species
UGUAUCUUUAAAAGUUAGUCUAAAAAGGUACAGCCUUUUAGAAAUGGAUACAACCUUCACUAGAGAGUAAGAUCUAAAAAUACCAUAGUAGGCCUAAAAGCAGCCAUCAAUUAAGAAAGCGUUAAAGCUCAACAACAAUAGUAUUAUUAAUCCCAGCAAUAACAUUAACCAACUCCUAGAUUUAAUACUGGACUAUUCUAUUACUAAUUAGAAGCAAUAUGGUAAUAAUAAGUAACAAGAAAUAUUUUCUCCUCGCACAAGUUUAAGUCAGUAGCUGAUAAUACCCUGACCGUUAACAGUAAAUAAAAAUAACCCAACAAUAAAUGAUUUAUUACUUAUACUGUUAACCCAACACAGGAGUGCACC